GUGAGGUAACGGCUCACCAAGGCCAUGAUCAGUAGCCGGCCUGAGAGGGUGAACGGCCACACUGGGACUGAGACACGGCCCAGACUCCUACGGGAGGCAGCAGUGGGGAAUCUUCCGCAAUGGGCGCAAGCCUGACGGAGCAAUGCCGCGUGAGUGACGAAGGCCUUCGGGUUGUAAAACUCUGUCCUUAGGGAAGAACGGUCUAUAUGUGAAUAAUGUAUAGAAAUGACGGUACCUAAGGAGGAAGCCCCGGCUAACUACGUGCCAGCAGCCGCGGUAACACGUAGGGGGCGAGCGUUGUCCGGAAUCACUGGGCGUAAAGAGCACGUAGGCGGAUUAUUAAGUCAGAUGUGAAAAC
rnacentral:rRNA from 1 species